AUUGAACGCUGGCGGCAUGCCUUACACAUGCAAGUCGAACGGCAGCACGGGUGCUUGCACCUGGUGGCGAGUGGCGAACGGGUGAGUAAUACAUCGGAACGUACCUUAUCGUGGGGGAUAACGCAGCGAAAGCUGUGCUAAUACCGCAUACGCCCUGAGGGGGAAAGCGGGGGAUCGAAAGACCUCGCGCGAUUAGAGCGGCCGAUGCCUGAUUAGCUUGUUGGUGGGGUAAAAGCCCACCAAGGCGACGAUCAGUAGCUGGUCUGAGAGGACGAGCAGCCACACGGGGACUGGAACCCGGCCCAGACUCCUACGGGGGGCAGCAGUGGGGAAUUUUGGCAAAUGGGGGCAACCCUGAUCCAGCAAUGCCGCGUGAGUGAAGAAGGCCUUCGGGUUGUAAAGCUCUUUUGUCAGGGAAGAAACACCGGCUCUAACACAGUCCGGGAAUGACGGUACCUGAAGAAUAAGCACCGGCUAACUACGUGCCAGCCGCCGCGGUAA
rnacentral:rRNA from 1 species